CAGUCGCCACGGUAAAACGUAGGUGGCAAGCGUUGUCCGGAAUUAUUGGGCGUAAAGGGCUCGCAGGCGGUUUCUUAAGUCUGAUGUGAAAGCCCCCGGCUCAACCGGGGAGGGUCAUUGGAAACUGGGAAACUUGAGUGCAGAAGAGGAGAGUGGAAUUCCACGUGUAGCGGUGAAAUGCGUAGAGAUGUGGAGGAACACCAGUGGCGAAGGCGACUCUCUGGUCUGUAACUGACGCUGAGGAGCGAAAGCGUGGGGAGCGAACAGGAUUAGAUACCCCUGUAGUCCCUGUCUCUUAUAC
rnacentral:rRNA from 1 species